rnacentral:rRNA from 1 species
GACGAACGCUGGCGGCGUGCUUAACACAUGCAAGUCGAACGGAAAGGCCCUGCUUUUGUGGGGUGCUCGAGUGGCGAACGGGUGAGUAACACGUGAGUAACCUGCCCUUGACUUUGGGAUAACUUCAGGAAACUGGGGCUAAUACCGGAUAGGAGCUCCUGCUGCAUGGUGGGGGUUGGAAAGUUUCGGCGGUUGGGGAUGGACUCGCGGCUUAUCAGCUUGUUGGUGGGGUAGUGGCUUACCAAGGCUUUGACGGGUAGCCGGCCUGCGAGGGUGACCGGCCAAAUUGGGACUGAGAUACAGCCCAGACUCCUACGGGAGGCAGCAGUGGGGAAUAGUGCACAAUGGGCGGAAGCCUGAUGCAGCAACGCCGCGUGCGGGAUGACGGCCUUCGGGUUGUAAACCGCCUUCGCCUGUGACGAAGCGUGAGUGACGGUAAUGGGUAAAGAAGCACCGGCUAACUACGUG